GUGCUCACUUAGGCAGCACAUGUACUGAAACUGGAAUGACAGAGAGAUGAGCAUGGUCCCUGUGCAAGGAUGACACAAAAAUUCAUGAAUUGCUCCAUAUUGUU
ensembl:snRNA U6 U6 spliceosomal RNA